UGGCUUUUGGUGUGUUUAUUCUGCAUUUUCUAACGAAAUUUGUACUCAGCUUUUUCUUCUGCUGUUACACUUUAUCUGUCUCAGGCUGCCUGGAAAAAGAUGAUGUAGUAGCCUGGCAAAAUGAACUCAAGAAACAAGAAGAAGACACUAGAGACUGAUCUGCAAGUUGUUCAGCACUCACAGCUAUCUAAGGAGCUGAGGAUAAAGUUGGCUCUUUCCUGA
rnacentral:lncRNA from 1 species